rnacentral:rRNA from 1 species
GACGAACGCUGGCGGCGUGCCUAAUACAUGCAAGUCGAACGCUUCUUUCCUCCCGAGUGCUUGCACUCAAUUGGAAAGAGGAGUGGCGGACGGGUGAGUAACACGUGGGUAACCUACCCAUCAGAGGGGGAUAACACUUGGUAACAGGUGCUAAUACCGCCUAACAGUUUAUGCCGCAUGGCAUAAGAGUGAAAGGCGCUUUCGGGUGUCGCUGAUGGAUGGACCCGCGGUGCAUUAGCUAGUUGGUGAGGUAACGGCUCACCAAGGCCACGAUGCAUAGCCGACCUGAGAGGGUGAUCGGCCACACUGGGACUGAGACACGGCCCAGACUCCUACGGGAGGCAGCAGUAGGGAAUCUUCGGCAAUGGACGAAAGUCUGACCGAGCAACGCCGCGUGAGUGAAGAAGGUUUUCGGAUCGUAAAACUCUGUUGUUAGAGAAGAACAAGGACGUUAGUAACUGAACGUCCCCUGACGGUAUCUAACCAGAAAGCCACGGCUAACUACGUG